UACGUAGGGUGCAAGCGUUGUCCGGAAUUAUUGGGCGUAAAGAGCUUGUAGGCGGUUUGUCGCGUCUGCUGUGAAAUUUCGGGGCUCAACCCCGAACUUGCAGUGGGUACGGGCAGACUAGAGUGUGGUAGGGGAGACUGGAAUUCCUGGUGUAGCGGUGAAAUGCGCAGAUAUCAGGAGGAACACCGAUGGCGAAGGCACUCUGCUGGGCCGACACUGACACUGAGAGACGAAAGCUAGGGGAGCGAAUGGG
rnacentral:rRNA from 1 species